GGUCUGAAAGAAGGAGAAAAGGGCCAUCAUUGGAGGGCUUUCAGUGCCAAAAUGUGGACCAGCCCGGCAAGGUCAGAGGUCCUGGACCGCGGGAGACCAAGGUAAUGAUGAUGUCAUGAGAAACCUCAAGUACACACGGCUAUUGAUAUGCAUGAGUGACCAGCGACCGGCCCAGGCCGGCGGGACCGAGCCCCCGCUCGCCUCCAGCAUCGCCUCCUCCACCGCUCCCGGCCGCCGGGAAAAGCCGCCCGCCGCCUUUACCUUCCUCCUCGCCAGCGCAGACCGCUCUGACAUCCACAGGCAGAGGCAGAAAGCUCUCUCUGAGGACAGAUAAAAAGCGUUCGCAGCGCCGGGGAGCGCCUUUUUGCCUGCGUUUUCUCUUCUGGCAGCCUCCGCUAGCGCAGAGGGAUGCGCGGCACUUUGCUGCCUGGCUCGGAGCGGGGCCUUGCUUUCCGAGGCCGGGGACCGGGUCUGUGCUACGCAGUCUCCAGAUGGCUGUGACGUAAAGAAGAAACAUCCUGCGUGGAUUUCUUAAGAAUAAACAGUCUCUAUUGGCUUUAAAGAGGAAUGCUGAUGAUUCUGUAAUAAUUGCAGUCAGACCCCCGUCCUAAUGCCAGCAUCCCCACCUUCUGCGGGGAAGACACACAGGAGCCCCCCUUAAGAUGCUGUGAGGUACAUAAGAAGGGUGUAGCAUUACAUAAAUCCCCCUUUUCCCACUAAAUCAUGGUAGAAUUCAUGCAGAUGUAAACCACGGCAUGCCAGUACAGCACAGGCCAGCUUUCCCUGCAGAGCAUCCCUUUCCUCCCAGCCAGGUAAGUCACUUGACUAGCUUGCCUUCCAAUAAAGGUGCCUCAUCAUUU